ACAGAGGGCCGGCCGCUGGCAACAUCGGUCCAAUCCUUAAAGUCAUCCUCAGUUCGGACUGGGGUCUGCAACCCGACCCCACGAAGCUGGAUUCGCUAGUAAUCGCGCAUCAGCCAUGGCGCGGUGAAUACGUUCCCGGGCCUUGUACACACCGCCCGUCAAGCCAUGAAAGCCGGGGGCGCCUGAAGUCCGUGACCGCGAGGGUCGGCCUAGGGUGAAACCGGUGAUUGGGGCUAAGUCGUAACAAGGUAUC
rnacentral:rRNA from 1 species